UACGUAGGGUGCGAGCGUUAAUCGGAAUUACUGGGCGUAAAGCGUGCGCAGGCGGUUGUGCAAGACAGAUGUGAAAUCCCCGGGCUUAACCUGGGAACUGCAUUUGUGACUGCACGGCUAGAGUGCGGCAGAGGGGGAUGGAAUUCCGCGUGUAGCAGUGAAAUGCGUAGAUAUGCGGAGGAACACCGAUGGCGAAGGCAAUCCCCUGGGCCUGCACUGGACGCUCAUGCACGAAAGCGUGGGGAGCAAACAGG
rnacentral:rRNA from 1 species